rnacentral:rRNA from 1 species
GGAGGCAGCAGUUGGGCAUUUUUCCGCAAUGGACGAAAGUUUGAACGGAGCCACGCCGUUUGAGUGAUGAAGGUUUUUCGGAUCGUAAAGCUCUGUUGUUAGGGAAAGAACAAGUGCGAGAGUAACUGCUCGCACCUUGACGGUACCUAACCAGAAAGCCACGGCUAACUACGUGCCAGCAGCCGCGGUAAUACGUAGGUGGCUAGCGUUGUCCGGAAUUAUUGCGCGUAAAGGGCUCGCAGGCGGUUUCUUAAGUCUGAUGUGACAGCCCCCGGCUCAACCGCGGAGGGUCAUUGGAAACUGGGANACUUGAGUGCAGAAGAGGAGAGUGGANUUCCACGUGUAGCGGUGAAAUGCGUAGAGAUGUGGAGGAACACCAGUGGCGAAGGCGACUCUCUGGUCUGUAACUGACGCUGAGGAGCGAUAGCGUGGGGAGCGAACAGGAUUAGAUACCCUGGUAGUCCACGCCGUAAACGAUGAGUGCUAAGUGUUAGGGGGUCUCCGCCCCUUAGUGCUGCAGCUAACGCAUUAAGCACUCCGCCUGGGGAGUACGGUCGCAAGACUGAAACUCAAAGGAAUUGACGGGGGCCCGCACAAGCGGUGGACCAUGUGGUUUAAUUCGAAGCAACGCGAAGAACCUUACCAGGUCUUGACAUCCUCUGACAACCCUAGAGAUAGGGCUUUCCCUUCGGGGACAGAGUGACAGGUGGUGCAUGGUUGUCGUCAGCUCGUGUCGUGAGAUGUUGGGUUAAGUCCCGCAACGAGCGCAACCCUUGAUCUUAGUUGCCAGCAUUUAGUUGGGCACUCUAAGGUGACUGCCGGUGACAAACCGGAGGAAGGUGGGGAUGACGUCAAAUCAUCAUGCCCCUUAUGACCUGGGCUACACACGUGCUACAAUGGACAGAACAAAGGGCUGCAAGACCGCAAGGUUUAGCCAAUCCCAUAAAUCUGUUCUCAGUUCGGAUCGCAGUCUGCAACUCGACUGCGUGAAGCUGGAAUCGCUAGUAAUCGCGGAUCAGCAUGCCGCGGUGAAUACGUUCCCGGGCCUUGUACACACCGCCCGUCACACCACGAGAGUUUGCAACACCCGAAGUCGGUGAGGUAACCUUUAUGGAGCCAGCCGCUCAGAUUAAGAGUGCCCGNG